CAGCUACAGGGGCUGUUAGCCUCAGGCUAAAGGAGCUGUUAGCCUCAAGCUAAAGGAGCUGUUAGCCUCCAGCUACAGGAGCUGUUAGCCUCCAGCUAAGGUAGCUGUUAGCCUCCAGCUACAGGAGCUGUUAGCCUCGAGCUAAGGGAGCUGUUAGCCUCCAGCUACAGGAGCUGUUAGCCUCCAGCUACAGGAGCUGUUAGCCUCAAGCUAAAGGAGCUGUUAGCCUCAAGCUACAGGAGCUGUUAGCCUCCAGCUACAGGGGCUGUUAGCCUCAAGCUAAAGGAGCUGUUAGCCUCAAGCUAAAGGAGCUGUUAGCCUCCAGCUACAGGAGCUGUUAGCCUCCAGCUAAGGUAGCUGUUAGCCUCCAGCUACAGGAGCUGUUAGCCUCGAGCUAAGGGAGCUGUUAGCCUCGAGCUAAAGGAGCGGUUAGCCUCGAGCUAAGGGAGCUCUUAGCCCUUGGGCUUAAGAAACUGUUAGCCACACACUAAGGAGGCUGGUAGCCUUGGGCUAAGCAAGCUGUUAGCCCUUUUCACACUGCACUUAGCCCUGGAUAAGGGAUCCAUUAGAAAGUGGGCUGAGGGUUAGCCUUUAACUCCCUUAGCCCAGGGCUAGCUGCUGCUCUGUAGCAGGUUAGCGUCUGAUAUCCUGUGUUCUCUUCUGAAAAUUGGUGCUAAAGUUAGCAGUGUGAAACAGAGCUAAUGGAAUUUACGUCAUGUGUUUGUUGUCCAAUCAUGACUUCUUCGUCACGUCAUCAGUACACGCCUGCUUCAUGUUUACUUUGUAACCAUGGUAAUUACUACUGACCAUAACCAGAGGUACCUAUUUAGCUAGCUGACCUAGAACAACGACCAACAUCUUCUCGUCAGUGUUUCCUCUCUGACUCACAUGAAGCUCUGCUGAUGCCGAAUCAUACCGUCCUAGGUUUAGGUUAACACGGAGUUAACACGGGGUGUGAGCUGAGUCACAGGAAGUCGUACGCUGAUAACACAAACUUUCCCUUUAAGGACUAAACUGGAGUUUUAUUCUAACAUUUCCUUUUCCUGUGUUGGUCCCUUGAGCUUUUAUGUUGAAGUCUUAAUGUUUCCUCCUGAAAGGCUCACUACACGCGUGUGACAUGUCUGUGACACGUGUGAUGAACAGAAAAACCGUGCUGAUGUCAUCAGAGGUAGAAAACUCAAACAUUAAAAAUAUUUUCUGAUCAAUCUGAUCGAGGUUCCUUAAUGAGAACAUUUACCAUCCACCCUUCAGCCAAUCAGAGCUGUCCAACAGUCAGCUGGUCUCCACACAGCCAAUCAGCUGACAGACAUGACAUGGUGCCACAUGAUCAAAAACACAUGAAACAUUUAAAGGAACAGUCUGACAUUUUCUGUAUAAAUUCUUCUCUGGUUUCAUGUUUCCUUCAGUUGGAACUUUAAAAUCAAAUUUAAUAAAAUUAACAGACACAUGUCAGAUAUUUUUAAUAAACUACCUGCACAGAUAAACUUCAUUUAUAAUCUUCUAAUUUAUCAUUAAAAAUUUUAAAUUUAAACUUACUUUAAAUUCAGCCUCACUGUUUUUGCUCAUAAAGGUCAUAAUCCCUUUCACUACAUUUCCUCUGGUCAGUGAACGCAUCAUCCACUGCUCAAUAACUUCUUUUACAACAAACUAAACAAACAUUCAGCUGGUUUCAGUCGCAGUGACUCAAAUUUAACACGAUUCCUUCAUGUUUCUAUGACGGCGUCGUCACCUGACGGCCAACACACACAAACAACAGCCCAUAAUAUUAGUCCUGUAAACAGGAUGAUGAACGGAUGUUUAGAUCGACAGCAGAGACGAGGAGUCAGUCGCUCUCUCACUCAACUGUUCACAACAAUUAGCUGUUAGCAUAACGAGCUAAUCUACAGUGAAGCCGCUUUGUUUCAGACACUACAAACUAAAUGACCAAUCAGAAGCUUCUUUAAGGCUGAGUGGGCGUCAACUGAUACUGGCUCCGCCCCCGACACACACACACACACACACACACACACACACACACACACACACACACACACA